AGGUGAUGUGUGGUGAGCGUUCUGGAACAAAAUGGCCACCGUGCAUCACCCUGGUUGGUGGUGGCGUCUGAGAGGAGAUAAUGAGGCCCGGGCUCCCGUUGACGUGGUCCAGCUUGGGAGCCCUGAAGCUCGGUCAAAUUGCCCGAGAUUGGCUCUCAGGAUCGAUCUUUGCCUGACAGGCCCGGCCUUCCGUCUACGAGCCUGAACUAUGUGAAGCGUUUCUGCGUUCAAUUCUCCUGGAGAAAAAGGGAGCAGACGUGACUAUGCCUCAGGACCCUGGUGCCGCAAACCAGACUCGACAGGAAGUGCCUCCGGUUCCCGCAGACUGUGUUCACAGCGAGCCACAUUUAAAAACCA